CUACGGGGUGCACCAGUGAGGAAUAUUGCACAAUGGGGGGAACCCUGAUGCAGCAACGCCGCGUGGAGGAUGACGCAUUUCGGUGUGUAAACUCCUUUUAUAUGUCAAGAAAAUGACGGUAGCAUAUGAAUAAGCACCGGCUAACUCCGUGCCAGCAGCCGCGGUAAUAGGAGGGUGCAAGCGUUACUCGGAAUCACUGGGCGUAAAGGACGCGUAGGCGGGCUGGAAAGUCAGGUGUGAAAUCCUACAGCUUAACUGUAGAACUGCACUUGAAACUUCUAAUCUAGAGUAUGGGAGGGGGAGAUGGAAUUAGUGGUGUAGGGGUAAAAUCCGUAGAUAUCACUAGGAAUACCUAAAGCGAAGGCGAUCUCCUGGAACAUUACUGACGCUAAGGCGUGAAAGCGUGGGGAGCAAACAGGAUUAGAUACCCCGGUAGUC
rnacentral:rRNA from 1 species